CCCGCCCGCGGGACGCCCCGGCACGGCCGCGGGUCGCGGGGUGCCCGCCGGAGGAGGGGAGCGGCUCCCCGCGGCCGCCUGCGCUCACCGGCCUUGGCUCCGUGUGCGGCGCUUCCCGCUGUUUUCCCUCCCGGCGCUGCUCAUCCCGCCCCUCGUGGACAGCCGGGCAGGGCCACAGGCGCUCUGUGUCCAUGUGCUUCAGAGGAAGGACUUGUGCUGGAAGUAAGAAGACCUGUGUGUUGUAGGAACCGUUUUAUGGUCUGGGAAUGUUUGGGGUUACAGGUGAUAGACAGAAAUAAAAUCGUCACAGAUGUGCAGCACCCCCAAAUCAAAUUUACCACGUCAUUGGAGACUUCUCCAGUUUCUGCACAGCCUCCACAGCCCUCCCCAAGCUGAGCUCUCCUCAUCUCAGGCACAGACCCCAGGCAAAAGUGAAUCCUGCUCCCUUUCAGUGUCAUUUCAGCUGGAGCCUGAGAAUGCACUGACUUGCAGAAGCAACAAUCAAUCAGAGCUGGCUACGACUUGACCGCCCUGCCUUGGUAAACACCUGGUCAAAAUCAUCAAAAUCGAGCUUUGUUGCCAUCCUGGCAACAAACCAACCCGUGAUGGUUCUUUGUGUACUUUCUAAACUUGUUUUAGUGAGGAUUAACUAAUGUUUGUAUAGUGUUUGUAUAGUGACACAGCUCUCUGGUGCUCCACGGACACAGCUGAAGGCAAAGGCCUUCGGGCUAUGCUGUGGUUUCCUAAUUCCUGUGUUAAGGCUACUGUAAUGCAUAUCCUCAAAGUGAAAUAAACAUUUCUGACUGA